UGGGGGAUAUUGCACAAUGGGCGAAAGCCUGAUGCAGCGACGCCGCGUGGGGGAUGAAGGCCUUCGGGUUAUAAACUUCUUUUGCUCUGAACAAGGCAUGCUAAUGGGUGUGUUGAGUGUAGGGGUUGAUUAGCGCCGGCUAACUACGUGCCAGCAGCCGCGGUAAUACGUAGGGCGCGAGCGUUGUCCGGAAUUAUUGGGCGUAAAGGGCUUGUAGGUGGCUGGUUGCGUCUGUCGUGAAAGCUCAUGGCUUAACUGUGGGUUUGCGGUGGGUACGGGCUGGCUUGAGUGCAGUAGGGGAGGCUGGAAUUCCUGGUGUAGCGGUGGAAUGCGCAGAUAUCAGGAGGAAUACCGGUGGCGAAGGCGGGUCUCUGGGCUGUUACUGACACUGAGGAGCGAAAGCAUGGGGAGCGAACAGG
rnacentral:rRNA from 1 species